UACAGGGGGUGCAAGCGUUAUUCGGAAUUAUUGGGCGUAAAGAGCGUGUAGGCGGCCAAGCAAGUUUGGUGUGAAAGCCCCGGGCUUAAUCCGGGAAGUGCAUUGAAUACUGCUAGGCUAGAGUAUAGGAGAGGAUGGCGGAAUUCCUGGUGUAGAGGUGAAAUUCGUAGAUAUCAGGAGGAACAACAGUGGCGAAGGCGGCCAUCUGGACUAUUACUGACGCUAAGGCGCGAAAGUGUGGGGAGCAAACAGG
rnacentral:rRNA from 1 species